GGGAAUUUUUCACAAUGGGCGCAAGCCUUAUGAAGCAAUGCCGCGUGAACGAUGAAGGUCUUAUAGAUUGUAAAGUUCUUUUAUAUGGGAAGAAACGCUAAAAUAGGAAAUGAUUUUAGUUUGACUGUACCAUUUGAAUAAGUAUCGGCUAACUAUGUGCCAGCAGCCGCGGUAAUACAUAGGAUGCAAGCGUUAUCCGGAUUUACUGGGCGUAAAACGAGCGCAGGCGGGUUUGUAAGUUUGGUAUUAAAUCUAGAUGCUUAACGUCUAGCUGUAUCAAAAACUGUAAACCUAGAGUGUAGUAGGGAGUUGGGGAACUCCAUGUGGAGCGGUAAAAUGCGUAGAUAUAUGGAAGAACACCGGUGGCGAAGGCGCCAACUUGGACUAUCACUGACGCUGAGGCUCGAAAGCGUGGGAAG
rnacentral:rRNA from 1 species